rnacentral:lncRNA from 1 species
CCCAUAUUAUCCUACAAUACCUAGGCCUGCCUCUUCAUCUCUUUUGUGUCCUUUUCAUUCAGGCGCAAUCACAUUAAGCCCGUUAUCCGUACAUGCUUCAUAGUAGAGUGGCCUGUUAGUGAUUAUGAUCUGAGCUUGGGUUUUUCGGCACAUAAACAUGUGUAAACCCUUUGGACCCAACUGGAGUUGUGGGGGAUCGGAUCGUAAUCCGCCCUACCGAGUUCAG